GUGCCUGGAUGCAGUACAUUAUGACUUAACAUAAUUAAGAUAAGAUAACAUGCUCUCAGCAAGUUGAGGAUCGCCAGAAUUUUUUGAACAGAAGUGUGGCUUUGCUGACAUUCCUAAAGAGAAGGACCCUCCUCAGCACUUGUUAAAAAGAAUGGCCAUCAGGAAAGCUUACCAGACUAAUAAGCCAUCUCAUGACAUCAACUGAAUUUCCUUCCUUCCUCAAAAUCCAGGGUCAUGGCCAAGGAUUGGAUCCUUGGCUUGGAGAGCAGAGAUGAGGACUGGGGACAAGUAGAAGCAACCCACAGUAGCAGCAUGAAAAGGCAGGCCAUCUGCCCUCAAGUUCAAAGGAAGUCGGGAGUCUUAUUGAUGGGCUC
rnacentral:lncRNA from 1 species